rnacentral:rRNA from 1 species
GGGGGAAUUUUCCGCAAUGGGCGAAAGCCUGACGGAGCAAUGCCGCGUGGAGGUGGAAGGCCUACGGGUCGUCAACUUCUUUUCUCGGAGAAGAAACAAUGACGGUAUCUGAGGAAUAAGCAUCGGCUAACUCUGUGCCAA